rnacentral:tRNA from 1 species
GGAGAGGUGGCCGAGUGGUUGAAGGCGCACGACUCGAAAUCGUGUAUGCGGUUUCCCCGUAUCGGGGGUUCGAAUCCCCCCCUCUCCGCCA